GAUGAACGCUGACAGAAUGCUUAACACAUGCAAGUCGAUGGGGAAGUGGUGCUUGCACCAUGGUAACCAUGGCGGACGGGUGAGUAACGCGUAAGGAACUUGCCUGCGGGACUGGGAUAACAGCAGGAAACUGCUGAUAAUACCGGAUAAGGUCAUUAAGCUGCAUAGCUUAGUGAUGAAAGGAGACGCCUGCGGAGAGCCUUGCGUCCUAUUAGCUAGUUGGAGGGGUAACGGCCCACCAAGGCGAAGAUAGGUAGCCGGCCUGAGAGGGUGGACGGCCACAAGGGGACUGAGAUACGGCCCUUACUCCUACGGGAGGCAGCAGUGGGGAAUAUUGGACAAUGGGGGCAACCCUGAUCCAGCAAUUCUGUGUGCACGAAGACGGUUUUCGGAUUGUAAAGUGCUUUCAGCAGGGAAGAAGGAAGUGACGGUACCUGCAGAAGAAGCGACGGCCAAAUACGUG
rnacentral:rRNA from 1 species